rnacentral:rRNA from 1 species
UACGAAAGGUCCAAGCGUUACUCGGAAUUACUGGGCGUAAAGCGCGCGUAGGCGGUCUUGUAUGUCGAUUGUGAAAGCCCCGGGCUCAACCUGGGAACUGCAGUCGAAACUGCAAGACUUGAAUGUUGGAGAGGUUGGGGGAAUACCUAGUGGAGAAGUGAAAUUCGUAGAGAUUAGGUGGAACACCAGAGGCGAAGGCGCCUGACUGGCCAAACAUUGACGCUGAGGCGCGAAAGCGUAGGUAGCAAACAGG